GACAGAGGGGGCAAGCGUUGCUCGGAAUUACUGGGCGUAAAGGGCGCGUAGGCGGAAUGGCAAGUCGGUCGUGAAAUCCUUCGGCUCAACCGAAGAACGUCGAUCGAAACUGCCGUUCUUGAGGAUUGCAGAGGAGACUGGAAUUCCCGGUGUAGCGGUGAAAUGUGUAGAGAUCGGGAGGAACACCGGUGGCGAAGGCGGGUCUCUGGGCAAUUCCUGACGCUGAGGCGCGAAAGCGUGGGGAGCGAACCGG
rnacentral:rRNA from 1 species